rnacentral:misc_RNA from 1 species
GAUGAAGAACGUAGUGAAAUGCGAUAAGUAGUGUGAAUUGCAGAAUUCAGUGAAUCAUCGAAUCUUUGAACGCACAUUGUGCCCCUUGGUAUCCCGAGGGGCAUGCCUGUUCGAGCGUCAUUUCACCACUCAAGCCUGGCUUGGUGUUGGGCGACGUCCCCUUUAGGGACGCGCCUCGAAACGCUCGGCGGCGCGGCACCGGCUUUAAGCGUAGCAGAAUCUUUCGCUUUGGAAGUCGGGGCCCCGCCUGCCGGAAUACCUACUUGUAAGGUUGACCUCGGAUCAGGCAGGGAUACCCGCUGAACUUAAGCAUAUCAAUAAGCGGAGGA